UUCUGGCUCAGGAUGAACGCUGGCGGCGUGCCUAACACAUGCAAGGUCGAACGGAGCUACUUGAAGGAGACUUCGGUCAACGGAAGGGUAAGCUUAGUGGCGGACGGGUGAGUAACGCGUGGAGAACCUGCCCUGUACAGGGGGAUAACAGUGAGAAAUCACUGCUAAUACCGCAUAAGCGCACAGUACCGCAUGGUACAGUGUGAAAAACUCCGGUGGUACAGGAUGGCUCCGCGUUGGAUUAGCCAGUUGGCGGGGUAACGGCCCACCAAAGCGACGAUCCAUAGCCGGCCUGAGAGGGUGAACGGCCACAUUGGGACUGAGACACGGCCCAGACUCCUACGGGAGGCAGCAGUGGGGAAUAUUGCACAAUGGGGGAAACCCUGAUGCAAGCGACGCCGCGUGAAGGAAGAAGUAUCUCGGUAUGUAAACUUCUAUCAGCAGGGAAGAUGAUGACGGUACCUGACUAAGAAGCCCCGGCUAACUACGUGCCAGCAGCCGC
rnacentral:rRNA from 1 species